AUUGAACGCUGGCGGCAGGCCUAACACAUGCAAGUCGAACGAGUGGCGGACGGGUGAGUACUGUCUGGGAAACUGCCUGAUGGAGGGUGAUAACUACUGGAAACGGUAGCUAAUACCGCAUACCAUCAGAUGUGCCCAUAUGGGAUUAGCUAGUGGGUGUGGUAACGGUUCACCAAGGCGACGAUCCCUAGCUGGUAUGAGAGGAUGACCAGCCACACUGGAACUGUGACACGGUCCAGACUCCUACGGGAGGCAGAAGUUGGGAAUAUUGCACAAUGGGCGAAAGCCUGAUGCAGCCAUGCCGCGUGUAUGAAGAAGGCCUUCGGGUUGUAAAGUACUUUCAGCGGGGAGGCGUUACCCGCAGAAGAAGCACCGGCUAACUCCGUGCCAGCAGCCGCGGUAAUUC
rnacentral:rRNA from 1 species